rnacentral:misc_RNA from 1 species
GAAAUGCGAUAAGUAAUGUGAAUUGCAGAAUUCAGUGAAUCAUCGAAUCUUUGAACGCACAUUGCGCCCGUUAGCAUUCUAGCGGGCAUGCCUGUCCGAGCGUCAUUUCAACCCUCAGGGCCCCCCGUUCCGGCGGGCGGACCUGGCGUUGGGGAUCGGCCCGCCCCGUGCGGCGCCGUCCCCCAAAUACAGUGGCGGUCCCGCCGCAGCCUCCCCUGCGUAGUAGUUUACAACCUCGCAUCGGAGCGCGGCGCGGCCACGCCGUAAAACCCCCGACUUUCUGAACGUUGACCUGGGAUCAGGUAGGAAUACCCGCUGAACUUAAGC